GACGAACGCUGGCGGCGUGCUUAACACAUGCAAGUCGAACGAAGAGCGAUGGAAGCUUGCUUCUAUCAAUCUUAGUGGCGAACGGGUGAGUAACGCGCAAUCAACCUGCCCUUCAGAGGGGGACAACAGUUGGAAACGACUGCUAAUACCGCAUACGAUCUAAUCUCGGCAUCGAGGAUAGAUGAAAGGUGGCCUCUACAUGUAAGCUAUCACUGAAGGAGGGGAUUGCGUCUGAUUAGCUAGUUGGAGGGGUAACGGCCCACCAAGGCGAUGAUCAGUAGCCGGUCUGAGAGGAUGAACGGCCACAUUGGGACUGAGACACGGCCCAGACUCCUACGGGAGGCAGCAGUGGGGAAUCUUCCGCAAUGGACGAAAGUCUGACGGAGCAACGCCCGCGUGAGUGAUGACGGC
rnacentral:rRNA from 1 species